rnacentral:rRNA from 1 species
GGGGUCCGAUUUAGCCAUGCUAGUUGCACGAGUUCAUACUCGUGGCGAAAAGCUCAGUAACACGUGGCCAAACUACCCUACAGAGAACGAUAACCUCGGGAAACUGAGGCUAAUAGUUCAUACGGGAGUCAUGCUGGAAUGCCGACUCCCCGAAACGCUCAGGCGCUGUAGGAUGUGGCUGCGGCCGAUUAGGUAGACGGUGGGGUAACGGCCCACCGUGCCGAUAAUCGGUACGGGUUGUGAGAGCAAGAGCCCGGAGACGGAAUCUGAGACAAGAUUCCGGGCCCUACGGGGCGCAGCAGGCGCGAAACCUUUACACUGCACGCAAGUGCGAUAAGGGGACCCCAAGUGCGAGGGCAUAUAGUCCUCGCUUUUCUCGACUGUAAGGCGGUCGAGGAAUAAGAGCUGGGCAAGACCGGUGCCAGCCGCCGCGGUAAUACCGGCAGCUCAAGUGAUGACCGAUAUUAUUGGGCCUAAAGCGUCCGUAGCCGGCCACGAAGGUUCAUCGGGAAAUCCGCCAGCUCAACUGGCGGGCGUCCGGUGAAAACCACGUGGCUUGGGACCGGAAGGCUCGAGGGGUACGUCCGGGGUAGGAGUGAAAUCCCGUAAUCCUGGACGGACCACCGAUGGCGAAAGCACCUCGAGAAGACGGAUCCGACGGUGAGGGACGAAAGCUAGGGUCUCGAACCGGAUUAGAUACCCGGGUAGUCCUAGCUGUAAACGAUGCUCGCUAGGUGUGACACAGGCUACGAGCCUGUGUUGUGCCGUAGGGAAGCCGAGAAGCGAGCCGCCUGGGAAGUACGUCCGCAAGGAUGAAACUUAAAGGAAUUGGCGGGGGAGCACUACAACCGGAGGAGCCUGCGGUUUAAUUGGACUCAACGCCGGACAUCUCACCAGCUCCGACUACAGUGAUGACGAUCAGGUUGAUGACCUUAUCACGACGCUGUAGAGAGGAGGUGCAUGGCCGCCGUCAGCUCGUACCGUGAGGCGUCGUGUUAAGUCAGGCAACGAGCGAGACCCGCACUUCUAA